GCCGCGUGAGUGAAGAAGGCCUUAGGGUUGUAAAGCUCUUUCAACGGUGAAGAUGAUGACUGUAGCCGUAGAAGAAGCCCCGGCUAACUCCGUGCCAGCAGCCGCGGUAAUAAUCACUAGUGAAUUC
rnacentral:rRNA from 1 species